AACACCUUGCUAUCUGAGAGAACUGGACAUGAGUGACAAUGCCCUGCACAAUGAAGGAGUGGAGCUGCUCUGUGUGGGACUAAGAGAUCCACAAUGUAAGCUGGAGACACUGAGGCUGUCUGAUCACCCAGAAGGGCUGUUCUUUCUUGUCCUCUGUCCUCAAAUCAAACCCUUCCUACCUGAAAGAGCUGGAGAUGAACUACAAUCACCCAGGAGACUCAGGUGUCAAAGAGCUCACAGACAUACUGAAUGAUCCCAGCUGUAAACUAGAGACUUUCAGGUAAGAAGACGGAGAAAAUAACAGGUUUAAACCAGGACCGAGAAAAUAUGCAUGUGAGCUCACGCUGGACCCAAACACAGCACACAAACGUCUAUCUCUCCCUGAGGAGAACAGAAAGGUGACAU